UGCCCAUCCAACUCCAUAGCCCAGCCACCCACUCUCAUGUACCAUAUGGCCAUCCCAGUAAGCAAGCCAACCACUAGAAUUUGACUGGCAUGCACCUGUGACUUACAUAAACCAGACCUCUACAUAGCCUACAUGUCUUCAUUUUGCUGAAGACUGCCCAUCAUCCUAGCCUGUUAUCUGUGAUAAAGCACACUGAAGUUAGGUUUGGAAUGCAUCCUUAUCAUGAAUGCUCUACACCUCCACCUCCAUCUCCCACAACCUAGGUAACAGCUUUGAGACUCACUAAAAGUUGAACCCCCUGAAUGAUGUAGGCUAUGGGGCCACAUAAGACUUUGUCCAUCCAGGGUUACAUUGAACGACAACUUUUAAACUAAAA